CGACGACAAUGUACGGAAACAGCCAAGCGAGUGCAGGGCGAGCCAAGCGACGACAAUGUACGGAAACUGCCGAGCGAGUGCAGGGCGAGCCAAGCGACGACAAUGUACGGAAACUGCCGAGCGAGUGCAGGGCGAGCCAAGCGACGACAAUGUACGGAAACAGCCGAGCGAGUGCAGGGCGAGCCAAGCGACGACAAUGUACGGAAAUGGCCGAGCGAAGCACCCGAAGCAGCCAGCAGAGAGAAAGGGAGGCAUGGGAAGAGACGUCUGGACAACAUCUGGGCCGGCCACUUCUGGUAUGAUUCGUGGAACUACACAUCCCAGCAAGUUGUACUGCAUUUGCUGAUUAUGUCAAAUGAAUAUCAUGAUUGAAUAGUCUAGGUAUGAUUCGUGGAACUACACAUCCCAGCAAGUU